rnacentral:rRNA from 1 species
GUUAAGCGACUAAGCGUACACGGUGGAUGCCCUGGCAGUCAGAGGCGAUGAAGGACGUGCUAAUCUGCGAUAAGCGUCGGUAAGGUGAUAUGAACCGUUAUAACCGGCGAUUUCCGAAUGGGGAAACCCAGUGUGUUUCGACACACUAUCAUUAACUGAAUCCAUAGGUUAAUGAGGCGAACCGGGGGAACUGAAACAUCUAAGUACCCCGAGGAAAAGAAAUCAACCGAGAUUCCCCCAGUAGCGGCGAGCGAACGGGGAGCAGCCCAGAGCCUGAAUCAGUGUGUGUGUUAGUGGAAGCGUCUGGAAAGGCGCGCGAUACAGGGUGACAGCCCCGUACACAAAAAUGCACAUGCUGUGAGCUCGAUGAGUAGGGCGGGACACGUGGUAUCCUGUCUGAAUAUGGGGGGACCAUCCUCCAAGGCUAAAUACUCCUGACUGACCGAUAGUGAACCAGUACCGUGAGGGAAAGGCGAAAAGAACCCCGGCGAGGGGAGUGAAAAAGAACCUGAAACCGUGUACGUACAAGCAGUGGGAGCACGCUUAGGCGUGUGACUGCGUACCUUUUGUAUAAUGGGUCAGCGACUUAUAUUCUGUAGCAAGGUUAACCGAAUAGGGGAGCCGAAGGGAAACCGAGUCUUAACUGGGCGUUAAGUUGCAGGGUAUAGACCCGAAACCCGGUGAUCUAGCCAUGGGCAGGUUGAAGGUUGGGUAACACUAACUGGAGGACCGAACCGACUAAUGUUGAAAAAUUAGCGGAUGACUUGUGGCUGGGGGUGAAAGGCCAAUCAAACCGGGAGAUAGCUGGUUCUCCCCGAAAGCUAUUUAGGUAGCGCCUCGUGAAUUCAUCUCCGGGGGUAGAGCACUGUUUCGGCAAGGGGGUCAUCCCGACUUACCAACCCGAUGCAAACUGCGAAUACCGGAGAAUGUUAUCACGGGAGACACACGGCGGGUGCUAACGUCCGUCGUGAAGAGGGAAACAACCCAGACCGCCAGCUAAGGUCCCAAAGUCAUGGUUAAGUGGGAAACGAUGUGGGAAGGCCCAGACAGCCAGGAUGUUGGCUUAGAAGCAGCCAUCAUUUAAAGAAAGCGUAAUAGCUCACUGGUCGAGUCGGCCUGCGCGGAAGAUGUAACGGGGCUAAACCAUGCACCGAAGCUGCGGCAGCGACGCUUAUGCGUUGUUGGGUAGGGGAGCGUUCUGUAAGCCUGUGAAGGUGUGCUGUGAGGCAUGCUGGAGGUAUCAGAAGUGCGAAUGCUGACAUAAGUAACGAUAAAGCGGGUGAAAAGCCCGCUCGCCGGAAGACCAAGGGUUCCUGUCCAACGUUAAUCGGGGCAGGGUGAGUCGACCCCUAAGGCGAGGCCGAAAGGCGUAGUCGAUGGGAAACAGGUUAAUAUUCCUGUACUUGGUGUUACUGCGAAGGGGGGACGGAGAAGGCUAUGUUGGCCGGGCGACGGUUGUCCCGGUUUAAGCGUGUAGGCUGGUUUUCCAGGCAAAUCCGGAAAAUCAAGGCUGAGGCGUGAUGACGAGGCACUACGGUGCUGAAGCAACAAAUGCCCUGCUUCCAGGAAAAGCCUCUAAGCAUCAGGUAACAUCAAAUCGUACCCCAAACCGACACAGGUGGUCAGGUAGAGAAUACCAAGGCGCUUGAGAGAACUCGGGUGAAGGAACUAGGCAAAAUGGUGCCGUA